rnacentral:rRNA from 1 species
UACGUAGGGGGCUAGCGUUGUCCGGAAUCAUUGGGCGUAAAGCGCGCGCAGGCGGUCGCGUAAGUCUGCUGUGAAAUCUCCCUGGCUCAACCGGGAGGGGGCGGCGGAGACUGCGGGACUGGAGGGACCUAGAGGCCGGUGGAAUUCCCGGUGUAGUGGUGAAAUGCGUAGAGAUCGGGAGGAACACCUGUGGCGAAGGCGGCUACCUGGACCGGUUCUGACGCUGAGGCGCGAAAGCGUGGGUAGCAAACAGG